rnacentral:SRP_RNA from 1 species
GCCAGGUGUGGUGGCUCACACCUGUAAUCCCAACACUCUGGGAGGCCGAGGCGGGUGGAUCACUUGAGGUCAGGAGUUUGAGACCAGCCUGGCCAACAUGGUGAAACCCCGUCUCUA